CCGGGCGGUGUGAGCAGGCCGUGGGCAGGAGCCGUGUCCCGGAGGCCGGGCGGUGUGAGCAGGCCGUGGGCAGGAGCCGUGUCCCGGAGCUGCGGGCUGCAGGUGGCAGCAGCGCCCUUCCCUUCCCUGCGGCAGCCGGGGAUGCUGCGGCACAGCCCGGCCACAGCGCCAGGAGCACAUCGGCACCUCGCAGCCACACUCUGCGCCUCCCCCGCCUCCUCCCCGACAGGAAUCCGGAUCCUUGGAGAGAGGGGAGGGGAAGAAAAGCCUUUCUGCAUCGCGCAGUGCCAGACAGAGCCCGCUUCCCUGUAGAUCCUGCAGACUCUGGAAGGGGCUCUGAGGUGUCCACACAACCUUCCCUUCUCCAGGCUGAGCAGCCCCAGCUGUCCCAGCCUGGCUCCAGAGGGGAGGUGCUCCAGGUCCCUAUGACAGCCAUAAAUAGAGACUUUCAGAGGGCCCUGGCUCUCCAAGGUAUGAAAUCUCCUUUGCUUUGUAUUAUUUGUGUUUUGUUUCUGCAUUUAAGAGUGCUGAGUUUAACCCCAAAUGUUGGCCCUGAGGCUUUUCCAGCAAAACCUUUUUCCUGUGUGAGUCUUUCAGCAGCUCCUAAGGAUGGUCCAUUUCUGGAACUCUUCAUCUGUGUGAGGCUGUACCACAGCUGCUGUUCCCAGCGUGAGGGGCUUGGUCCCAGGACCCCAGGAAUGGCUGGAGCUGUGCCAGGGGAGGAUCAGAAUGAGGAUCACAGGAUGGAGACUGGCAAAGUCCGGAGCCUCUGUAGCAGGAUGGGAAGGCAGAGUCUUACAGGAGGAAUGCCAAAGGGUGUGCGAGCAUAUAGACAAAUUGCUGGUGGAUGAAUUUCUUGGAAAUAAACCUGGCAAAUUAGAAUUGUUAAAGCAACUGCU